rnacentral:siRNA from 1 species
AUGAAUGAUGCGAGAGACAAAU